UCUUGACCUCAGGUGAUCCGCCCACCUUAGCCUCCCAAAGUGCUGGGAUUACAGGCGUGAGUCACCACAUCCGGCCAGAAAUCUAGCUUUUUUGGACAGUAAAACCUGUACUUUUUUCACUAUGCCACAUGGUUUACACCCUCAGUAAGCCAUGAACUGCCUGAGAACAAGUUACAGGCAUCACCGGAGGCUCUGGAGUGACACUGCCGGGUGGAAUGCAGAUGGGACGCCCUGAGGGGGCACGGAAGGGCUUGGUGAAAGACAUGUCCCUGGAGGGGGUGGACUGGUGGAGCAUGUUCACUGGGAGAACUGGUGGGGUAAACCCAGAGUGAAGAAGAGGAACAGAGCCCCCAAGGGGCUGAGAACCUUGAUAAAUGAACACUUAGAGCUCUCUGUGCCUGGGGCCUAUCAGGGACAACUCUGUUUUAGCAUAGGUGGCAUCUAACAUGAAAUACCCACAAUGGGUAAAUCCGCAAGACAGAAAGCGGACUGGAGGUUGCUAAGGGCUGUGGGUGGUGAGGGGAAGGUGGAAGCACCUGUUUCAUGGGUACUGCUUUUCCUUUGGGGGUGAAAACAAAUGGGUUGGAACAAGAAAGAGGUGGUGGUCAUAUAACACUGUGAAUGUACUAAAUGCUACUGAGUUUUUCACUUUAAAAUAGCUAAUUUUAUCUUAUGUGAAUUUCACCUCAAUAGAAAAAGUACAGUGAAGGUGAUGGAGGCCCAAGAGUGGUGGACCCUUCUUCUUCAGGGUACUGCAUUUGUCCUGGGGUCUUUGUCCCUGAUCACUCUCCAAGGGGCUGAGUGGUGGGUUGAUCUCAGUGCCUCACCCCCACCUCACUAGGCCAGGAGUGCAUUGUAGGGUCUAAUUGUCCAUGUGGGCUUCCAGGAACAUUUUGUAAACUGUUGAUUAUUUCUAGUAAAUUAAUUUGCAGGCAUAAUUCCAUUUUACAGUUGUCAGAGCAGCCGAAAUCUGCCCUGGGGAGUCACAACCUGUUGUGAUUAAAACUGUCUCAACUCAGUUUCUAGAUGGGCAUUCACUCGGCAUGGAAAGAAGAUCCAGGAUGAGUUGACCUGGGGGCGCUGGCUGGGCAGCUUCACACUUGAAUCUGACCAGCAGCCACUUUCUAGCUGCCCCCUGGUGAUAUUCUCCAUUUGGUUCACAUUUUCUAAGUGCACUUUUACCCAUGGGCUCUCCUUUUCUCUUCACAACAGCCUCUGGGGACAUGUUUUAAGGGAAGGUUCAGAGAGGGCCAGCAGUAUGAAGAGGUCACACAGUCAGGAAAUGCAAAGCUGAGAUGCACACGUUACAGGUCUGCUGAAUUCCUGUUUGAAGUAAGACUUGUCUCAACAUUUCGUUCGGUACAAACUACAUACUUAGUGCCACAUGGUAGAAUGGUGCAACUGGGAAUUCGAGAACAUGCCCCUUAGAUUUGGCCCUUAAAAAGGAACUGACAUCGUACCCUGGGAAACAGGAAGACUGCCGGUGCUGCUGGAGUUGCUCGUUAGUAAUAAGCUACGUACCUUCUCUUUGCCUCAGUUGCGUAGAAUGUAGAUAAUAAUAAUGGUUUAUUCAUUGGGCUGUUGUGAGGAUUAAGUAGAUUAAAUAAGAUAAUCUAUACCAAGAGUUUAGCAGGAUGCCUGGCCCGUAGUGAGUGCUCCAUGAACAUCAGGCAUUACUAACAGUCGAAUCAUCACUCCAACCUCUGCUUCCUCUGCCAUGCCUCCCCAUCGUCCAUAGUUACCCAAAGCAGAAAUCUGGGAACCCUCCUAAAUGCCAUCCUCCUUAGCCUCAUGAAUGAUCAGUCUCCAAAUUCUGUGUGUUUUGUAUCUUCAGCAUCUUUUUGUCUGCCUCUUCCUAUCAAUGAUAGAUCAUCCUGUCUCCAAAGUCAGUGAUCACACUUGUUCAUUAAGCAUUGGAUGAGUGAAUAUUGAAUGCUUUCCUAGUACAUGCUGGGCAUUGUGCUGUGUUAUUCUGAAUCCCACCUGGAUCCUACCACUGAGCCCGAAGCUGAGCUUGAGCCUACAGGGACUUCCUUCCCUGCACCGUUGUGUGUGCCUGUUCCUGUUCUCAAUCCUGAGGGCUCAAGAGAGAAGGAGUCCCGUCAUGCUUGUCUGUGUGUUCCCAGGGCCUUGACAGCUGCUGGCCCAGCCCACAAGCUCCAGUAGCGCAGGGUGCACCCAGCAGUGCAGAAUGGCUGUGUGUGCUGAGAUGUUCCCCAUCAAUCCUUGUCACACCUGGCAGCCCCAAGUCCGUUUAGAACUCAGGAUAGAAGCAGCAGCAGAGUGAUCCUGUCCUGGCUGUCAUGCCCAGUCAAGCGACAGAUGUCUGCAGUCCUAGAGAGGGUAACAUUCCCUCCCCCUGCCCCACAUACACACUUGGAGCUGAUGAUAGAACACAACAAUACUGAUGUCAUAAUCCCUGUGCCACCAGAAUGAUGUCACUGGCUGCUCAGAAUCCCAGCACUUAGACGCGAGAGAACUAUACAGGUUUAGAGCUAGAAGGACAGGUGUGAGCCACAUAUCUGAACAACAGCAACCAUGAUUUACCAGCUGCCAUGUUAAGGAUUACAUGUGUAUUACCUCUUUAGUUCUCCCCCAGCCACCCAACAGGAUAAACGCUACGAUGAUCUUCAUUUUUCUGAUGAGGAGGCAGAGGCAUUUGGAGGUGUAGUGGGCCAAAUCAUUGCCCGCUAAAAGCUAUGUUCAAGUCCUAACUCCUGGGACCCGUGAAUAGGGCCAUAUUUGAAAAUAAGGUCUUUGUAAAUGUAAUCAAGUAUCUCAAGAUAAAAUCAUCCUGGAUUUAGAUUGGGCCUUAACUCCAACGACUGAUGUCUUUAUAAGAGAAAAGAAAGACCUGAGACACAGAGAAGAUGGCCAUGUGAAGACAAAGGCAGAUAGGAGCCAUGCGGCCACAAGCCCAGGAAGGCCUGGAGCUCCUGGAAGCUGAAAGAGGCAGAAGAAUCCUCCUGUGGGGUCUUCCGAGGGGCACAUGGUCCUGCUGGCCCCUUGAUAUUGGACUUUCAGCCUCCACAACUGUGGGAAAAUGAAUUUCCAUUGUUUCAGGCCACUCGGUAGUAAUUUGUUUUGCAGCCACAAGAAAUGAAUACAAGGGGUAAGGAACUUGCCAAGGUCACCCAGCUAGCAUAGCAGAGCUGGGAUUAGCACCUCUUGGUUUUCUGACUUCAGGGACCUUUCCCCUGUUCUGGGUAACUGACAGAAGUAAUUGAGUUACCCGGGGAUUGGUGCCCUGGUACACCCUUCCACCCUCCUUCCUUCCCUCCCAGGGCCUGGUGCUUAGCCCAGUAUACAGAAGGCACUUAAUAAAUGUGUGGACUGGCUCUUUCACCCUGAUGCCAUAGGGCUUGUCUGGCUCACUGAUGUCUGCAUCAGAGGUGGAAACAGCUCACAGCAUCUCGAGAUGUCAGCAUCGCAGGGCCGAAGGGUCCUGUGAAACUCAUCGUGUUCACACAUGUCCUUGUUAGAACCGGACACUGGACCCGAGGAGGAAGAGGGGCUUGCCUCAACCACCCAGUAGUGCCUCUGAAGUCAAGUCUAGAAUUCUUGGUCCUGACUCCGAGGUUCAGGGAAUUCCCAUGACUGUCACAGUGAUACUCAGCUGCCAAGUCUGCAUGAUUCUACCUCCUAAUCACGUGUGUGCCCUCCCUUCCUCGCCAAGUCUGCAUGAUUCUACCUCCUAAUCGCGUGUGUGCCCUCCCUUCCUCGCCAAGUCUGCAUGACUCUACCUCCUAAUCGCGUGUGUACCCUCCCUUCCUCGCCACGUCUGUAUGGUUCUACCUCCUAAUCGCGUGUGUACCCUCCCUUCCUCGCCACGUGUGCAUGACUCUACCUCCUAAUCGCGUGUGUACCCUCCCUUCCUCACCAAGUCUGCAUGACUCUACCUCCUAAUCGCGUGUGUACCCUCCCUUCCUCGCCUUUGCUCACAUGCUGCUCAUGUUCCGAUGCUCGCUUUCCCUUCUAGUACCCUAGGACCAGCAUAGCUUCCAAGCUGGUCCUCUGGCCCCUGAGACUCCUCCAAUCUGUCCUUCUCACUGCUGACCGGGGAGUCAGUUUUCUGACAUGCCACAGAUGAUGGUAUUCCCUGCUAAAAGAUCUUCCCAUCACGGUGGCUGUUUCAUAAACUGUGUUGCUUGCAAUGCCACUGGCUCCAUGUCCUUCCAGCUCUAAACCUGUGUAGUUCUCUCGCGUCUUAAGUGCUGGGAUUCUGAGUAGCCAAUGACAUCAUUUUGGUGGCACAGGGAUUAUGACAUCAAUAUUGUUGUGUUCUAUCAUCAUCCUUGGAGCCUUUCGUGUGCUGAUGUGCUUUGGUGAUGUUCACAGAGGCCCAACUCAAUAGCAGGCAUGGCUUGGAAAUGUAUUUGACUUGAUCCUAGAAUCUUUCCUAGUUUUAAUUUUUGGCGGAACACAAAGUACUAGGGGCUGGGGACCAGUCUGGCCCAGAGGGUAGUUCAAAUCCACAGCCCAGCACGGAGGCCCCAAGCUGUCUUGUGCUGCCUCGUUUGCCUGGCUCCACGCUGAGUGCUGUUCCUGGAACACCCUCUCUCUGUCUCUGGUCCUGCCACUCUUUCCCAGCUCACAGAAGGUGCAGCCCUAGGGUUACAUCCUCCAGGAACCUACCAUGUGCCAGACAAGGAUCUUCACAGCUCCUUGAGGGCAGAGACUGUCUUGUUCUCUCUGGUGCCUCAUCCCUUGCCUGGUACCAAGAAGAUACAAAGGAAAAAUCUGUUGACUGACUAAAUAAAUAAACGGUCAUAAUAAAAAUA